AAGAGAGAUGAGGCUGUUGCUUCUAGUGCAUCUGACUCGUUUAAUGAUUGGCUAAUUUCUGCACCCUUUCCUCUAAACUGAGACAGGAUCAUUGUCUCUGACGGAUUUCCCUCUGUUAAUGACUUGGAUUUCGAUGUUGUUUCUUCCAAGAGAGGUGAGGCCGUUGCUUCUAAUAAUGCAUAUGAUCUCUUGAAUGAUUGGCUAAAUUCUUCACUCUCCCCGCAUGGAGUAAAAAUGCCUUCCCAAGAGUUUCGCUCGGUGUUUUCCCAUUCCAAUAUAUCUUUCCACCAGCUCUCCUCACCCUUGAU
rnacentral:misc_RNA from 1 species